rnacentral:rRNA from 1 species
CCUACGGGUGGCAGCAGUGGGGAAUAUUGCGCAAUGGGCGAAAGCCUGACGCAGCGACGCCGCGUGAGGGAUGAAGGUCUUCGGAUCGUAAACCUCUGUCAGCAGGGAAGAACGGUCACUGUGCUAAUCAGCAUUGAAUUGACGGUAUCUGCAAAGGAAGCACCGGCUAACUCCGGGCCAGCAGCCGCGGUAAUACGGAGGGUGCGAGCGUUAAUCGGAAUUACUGGGCGGAAAGCGCUCGUAGGUGGUAUGUCAAGUCAAGGGUUAAAUCCCUGCGCUCAACGUGGGAACUGCCUUUGAAACUGGCAGACUGGAGUGUGUGAGAGGAAAGUGGAAUUCGAGGUGUAGGGGUGAAAUCCGUAGAUAUCUGGAGGAACAUCAGUGGCGAAGGCGACUAUCUGGAAUAUAACUGACGCUGAGGAGCGAAAGCGUGGGUAGCAAACAGGAUUAGAUACCCCUGUAGUC